ensembl:lncRNA
CAGGCGACCGCGUUAAUUUUACAUCAGAAUGAAUGCGCUACCUACAGGUGAUUUACGAACAUUUUAAAUUAGCCACCAAGCGCGACGCUACUCCGCAUUGGAUUGUGGGAAAUAGUGCUUCAGCGAGUGUACACUGUACAUCGGUUGUACACUCGAAAUCAGAAUGAUUUGUGGGUAAAAAGUAGUGAACGAAUCAGUACCGCCGCUCCCCCCAAAAAACCCUUGCGCCAUUCCCCCAUCCGCGAUCGCGAACGCUCGCACCUCAUGUUUGCGGCUUAAUGUUCAUAAUUGAUGACUGGACAUCUAUGCCCGGUAAAAGACAUCAGCAAUCCGGCGCAGAGAAAAGAAAACGAAAAAAAAAAAGGCAUAAAGUUGGGUUGACGUUGGACGUUCGAUAUUCACAAAUUUAGGGACCGUCUCUAAAGUUACAUGCGAUAUUGGUAUACACUUUUCUAACAUCAAUAGCAUUUGAGGAGAAUGACUUACAGUCAUAAAAACAACUGUAAUUGUUCAUCUCGGUGUCAACUAUAAUGCACACCUUUUACAUUUUUGAAAUUUAUUAAAAUAAACUGUAAAUCAUAUGUAAAUUAUGCUACUUUUUCACAACCGAAUGGGCUCAAACGCAAAUUUGAAGCUCAAUAGCAUUUGAGGAGAAAGACACCACCAACGCAUCUAAUAUUCUCUCUGACUUACCAGGUUCCCUUACGGAAAUUAGCCAUGGUUUUAACAAUAACACCAAAAAUCAUCGUUCUUGUAGCCAUGGUAACUGCAAAUUAACCAUGGUUUUGUUACUUCAAAUAAUAAUUUACAAAGAAGUAUUAAUAUACUAUAUAUAAUUUUUUGUUUGUUUGUUUCUUCUUCUUGUUGUUGUUAUACUAUGGGAUUUCUACAACAGUAAAAGAACCAAAAAACCAGAAGCCAUUGAACAAAUAAAUAUAACAAGCAAUAGGGUAAAAAAUGACGUUUUCUUUCUCCCGUUCUCUCUCACAGAUGCACUCGCGCACACUAGUCAUUAGCGCUGCCCCGCGAAUUUAUCAGUAAAAUAGUUUCGCAGCUGAAAAGCUACAUGACAUUUCUCAUGAGCGAGGUUCUUAAAGCAAUUCAACAGAUUCCGUAUUAGUAGACGCUGCUGUUGAACACUGCUGAGAGCUACACGCGCACUGCUACACGCGCAUAAUCUCUCUCUCUCUCUCUCUCUCUCUCUCUCUCUCUCGCUCUCCCUCUCUCUCUCUCGCUCUCUCCCUCUCUCUCUCUCUCUCUCUCUCUCUCUCUAAUAAAUGCAUUAUUUGCCUGGCCCAAGCCUCUGAUAUUAGCUCUAAAACGACGUUUUGGAAUUUGCAACGGAAGGUUUAUCUUGAAAUAAAUCAUCUGAACAAUAUCUUGAGGUGUGGUUGUGACACCAGGCCGUUAAAAUUAUUAGAGAAAUAAUGCAUUUUUUCAGGGAAAAUGUUUAGUUAAUACGUAAUAUGUGUUCCCUAUUACAGAAAGUGUUACCAAAAUUCAUUCAUCUUCAGAACACAAAUUAAGAUAUUUUUAAUCAAAUCUGAUUUCUGCCCCCAAUUAAAAGUCUAUUCACCAAAACUCAGAUGCUUAAAAUUAAUCCAAGUCUUCUGAAGAGAUAUGGUCACUUCAUAUGAUGAAAAGGUUUAAAUUAUGCUUUUAUUCACAUAUAAACACUGAUUAUCAAACAUAAAGCUCAACCAUUCUUGACUGACGCAUGAGGACAAAAUCCUUGGUUCUUGCAAAAGCUGAAAUGUGCUUGUGUAACAGGCUAGAAUUAACCAUAUUGUUUCUUGCACAUCAAGCAAGCAUGCUUGAGCUUCUGUGAACAAAAUGUUGUAAACACUGUUUGUUGUUUUUUUUAUUUUAAUUUUUUUUUUAUCUCUUUUUAAGUCUUAAGUGUCAUAGAUUUAGGUGAAUGGGCUUUUUGAUGGAGCAACAGAUAUCCUGAUGUUUGCUUGUGUCAUGUUCAAACUGUUGUACUUUUUCCAGGCUAAAAAAAUGAUUAGGCCUAUAAAGCCUAUUUUUGCCAACAGAAAAUGUGUGAAUGUACAAACCUAAAUGUUAAUAGUUUGAUACAAGUUAGUGCUACUGUACAGCAUAAGCUGUUGACUUUACCUUCAGGAAGUGUAGUUGGAGAAGUGAUAUCACCUGCAAAACAAUGUUAUUUCACUUUAAUGCACAUACUAGGGCAAAAAAAAAGAUAUUUAGUCAUUUAUAGUUAGUCACUUGAUAUUACUAUGUGCUAAACUGAGUGUACUGAAGAUUAAACACUUAUAAUAGGCAUGUUUAGAAAGACCAUGUUGUCAGUCAAAUUAUUAUAUUACUUACAAGAGCACGGUUCCUUUUUGUUGAUCUGCAAAACAAAUAAAAAUCCAUAAUGAAAGGGUAUGAGUGCAAAGCAUUGAAAGUUAAGUUAUGCUAUUAAAUUAAUUUGACGGCCAUAAAACCUAAAACGCAUAAACAAUUUUACACUUACGCCGGCAGAGGGGCAGAUGAGCAGGAAUUCCAGUUUUUCAUGGCAGGUCUGUAAGAUGGCUGUGUUUGCUGUUGCAUUUACAAGUGGGAGCAUGCACUCCGUUUUUCCAUCAGCAUGAGAAAUUCCUGCCACAAUUCC